rnacentral:rRNA from 1 species
GUGUCAGCAGCCGCGGUAAUACAGAGGGUGCGAGCGUUGUCCGGAAUUACUGGGCGUAAAGGGCGCGUAGGCGGUUCGAUAAGUAGGAGGUGAAAUCUCACGGCUCAACCGGGAGGCUGCCUUCUAGACUGUCGGACUUGAGCACGGUAGAGGCAGAUGGAAUUCCCGGUGUAGCGGUGGAAUGCGUAGAGAUCGGGAAGAACACCAGUGGCGAAGGCGGUCUGCUGGGCCGUUGCUGACGCUGAGGCGCGACAGCGUGGGGAGCAAACAGGAUUAGAUACCCUGGUAGUCC